rnacentral:lncRNA from 1 species
UGAGCUCUAACUAGACGUGAUUUUCUUGUCGUGAUCCCUAGCCUCUCCCGCUGUGGAAGGCUCUAUAAGAAAACAAUCAACUAUUGGGGGGUGAGAACUAUAAACAUACAGUUUCCAAUGGAUAACGCCGUCGCCAACUGAAGCAAAGAUAUAAAAACUGCAGUAAUGUAAAGAGGGAUAUGAAAUAACUGAAGGUAAAGUAGUUAUACUACUAACAUGUC